GUCAGGUAUUGUUGCUGCAGCUGGUGUUGUGAAUCAGGCCGACAACAAGCUCAUCCUACUAUCCGGCUAUUUCACUACACCAGGGUUGCAUCAUACC
ensembl:miRNA MIR138-2 microRNA 138-2